CAGUAGCCACGGUAAUACGUAGGUGGCAAGCGUUGUCCGGAAUUAUUGGGCGUAAAGGGCUCGCAGGCGGUUUCUUAAGUCUGAUGUGAAAGCCCCCGGCUCAACCGGGGAGGGUCAUUGGAAACUGGGAAACUUGAGUGCAGAAGAGGAGAGUGGAAUUCCACGCGUAGCGGUGAAAUGCGUAGAGAUGUGGAGGAGCACCAGUGGCGAAGGCGACUCUCUGGUCUGUAACUGACGCUGAGGAGCGAAAGCGUGGGGAGCGAACAGGAUUAGAUACCCGUGUAGUCCCUGUCUCUUAUAC
rnacentral:rRNA from 1 species